rnacentral:rRNA from 1 species
ACCCUGGUAGUCCACGCUGUAAACGAUGUCGAUUUGGAGGUUGUGCCCUUGAGGCGUGGCUUCCGGAGCUAACGCGUUAAAUCGACCGCCUGGGGAGUACGGCCGCAAGGUUAAAACUCAAAUGAAUUGACGGGGGCCCGCACAAGCGGUGGAGCAUGUGGUUUAAUUCGAUGCAACGCGAAGAACCUUACCUACUCUUGACAUCCAGAGAACUUUCCAGAGAUGGAUUGGUGCCUUCGGGAACUCUGAGACAGGUGCUGCAUGGCUGUCGUCAGCUCGUGUUGUGAAAUGUUGGGUUAAGUCCCGCAACGAGCGCAACCCUUAUCCUUUGUUGCCAGCGGUUCGGCCGGGAACUCAAAGGAGACUGCCAGUGAUAAACUGGAGGAAGGUGGGGAUGACGUCAAGUCAUCAUGGCCCUUACGAGUAGGGCUACACACGUGCUACAAUGGCGUAUACAAAGAGAAGCGACCUCGCGAGAGCAAGCGGACCUCAUAAAGUACGUCGUAGUCCGGAUUGGAGUCUGCAACUCGACUCCAUGAAGUCGGAAUCGCUAGUAAUCGUAGAUCAGAAUGCUACGGUGAAUACGUUCCCGGGCCUUGUACACACCGCCCGUCACACCAUGGGAGUGGGUUGCAAAAGA